rnacentral:rRNA from 1 species
AAAGAACGCUGGCGGCAGGCCUAACACAUGCAAGUCGAGCGAAGCCUUCGGGCUUAGCGGCGGACGGGUGAGUAACGCGUGGGAACGUGCCCGUUGGUACGGAAUAGCCCCGGGAAACUGGGAGUAAUACCGGAUGUGGUCGGGAGACGAGAGUGUUAGCGCCAAAGGAUCGGCCCGCGUUGGAUUAGGUAGUUGGUGGGGUAAUGGCCUACCAAGCCGACGAUCCAUUGCUGGUUUGAGAGGAUGAUCAGCCACACUGGGACUGAGACACGGCCCAGACUCCUACGGGAGGCAGCAGUGGGGAAUCUUAGACAAUGGGGGAAACCCUGAUCUAGCCAUGCCGCGUGAUCGAUGAAGGCCUUAGGGUUGUAAAGAUCUUUCAGUGGGGAAGAUAAUGACUGUACCCACAGAAGAAGCCCCGGCUAACUCCGUGCCAGCCGCCGCCGUAACAC